GGCGCUGUGGCUAAGUUGGUUAAAGCGCCUGUCUAGUAAACAGAAGAUCCUGAGUUCGUAUCUCAGCAGUGCCU
rnacentral:tRNA from 1 species